rnacentral:rRNA from 1 species
AUACGGAGGGUGCAAGCGUUGCUCGGAAUUACUGGGCGUAAAGCGACCGCAGGCGGUUUGUCAGGUCGGAUGUGAAAGCCCGGGGCUCAACCCCGGAACUGCAUUCGAAACCGGCAGACUUGAGUAUGGGAGAGGAGGGCGGAAUUCCUGGUGUAGAGGUGAAAUUCGUAGAGAUCAGGAGGAACGCUCGCGGCGAAGGCGGCUCUCUGGCCCAAUACUGACGCUCAUGGUCGAAAGCAUGGGGAGCAAACAGGAUUAGAUACCCUGGUAGUCCAUGCCGUAAACGAUGAAUGCUAUCUGAUGGAGGUCUAUACCCAUUCAUUGGAGAAGCUAACGCAUUAAGCAUUCCGCCUGGGGACUACGGCCGCAAGGCUAAACUCAAAGGAAUUGACGGGGGCCCGCACAAGCAGUGGAGUAUGUGGUUUAAUUCGACGCAACGCGCAGAACCUUA